rnacentral:rRNA from 1 species
UACAGAGGGGGCAAGCGUUGUUCGGAAUUACUGGGCGUAAGGGGCUCGUAGGCGGCCAACUAAGUCAGACGUGAAAUCCCUCGGCUUAACCGGGGAACUGCGUCUGAUACUGGAUGGCUUGAGGUUGGGAGAGGGAUGCGGAAUUCCAGGUGUAGCGGUGAAAUGCGUAGAUAUCUGGAGGAACACCGGUGGCGAAGGCGGCAUCCUGGACCAAUUCUGACGCUGAGGAGCGAAAGCCAGGGGAGCAAACGGG